rnacentral:rRNA from 1 species
GAUGAACGCUGGCGGCGUGCCUAAUACAUGCAAGUUGAGCGAAUGAAGUUCCUUCGGGAAUGGAUUUAGCGGCGGACGGGUGAGUAACACGUGGGCAACCUGCCUCAUAGAGGGGAAUAGCCUUCCGAAAGGGAGAUUAAUACCGCAUAAGAUUGUAGUACCGCAUGGUACAGCAAUUAAAGGAGCAAUCCGCUAUGAGAUGGGCCCGCGGCGCAUUAGCUAGUUGGUGAGGUAAUGGCUCAACAAGGCGACGAUGCGUAGCCGACCUGAGAGGGUGAUCGGCCACAUUGGGAAUGAGACACGGCCCAGACUCCUACGGGAGGCAGCAGUGGGGAAUAUUGCACAAUGGGGGAAACCCUGAUGCAGCAACGCCGCGUGAGUGAUGACGGCCUUCGGGUUGUAAAGCUCUGUCUUCAGGGACGAUAAUGACGGUACCUGAGGAGGAAGCCACGGCUAACUACGUGCCAGCCGCCGCUGUAA